rnacentral:rRNA from 1 species
UACGGGGGGGGGCAAGCGUUGUUCGGAAUUACUGGGCGUAAAGGCGCGUAGGCGGCCUGCUAAGUCGGACGUGAAAUCCCUCGGCUCAACCGGGGAACUGCGUCCGAUACUGGUGGGCUCGAAUCCGGGAGAGGGAUGUGGAAUUCCAGGUGUAGCGGUGAAAUGCGUAGAUAUCUGGAGGAACACCGGUGGCGAAGGCGGCAUCCUGGACCGGUAUUGACGCUGAUGCGCGAAAGCCAGGGGAGCAAACGGGG